rnacentral:rRNA from 1 species
CUACGGGAGGCUCCAGUGAGGAAUAUUGCACAAUGGGGGGAACCCUGAUGCAGCAACGCCGCGUGGAGGAUGACGCAUUUCGGUGUGUAAACUCCUUUUAUAUGUCAAGAAAAUGACGGUAGCAUAUGAAUAAGCACCGGCUAACUCCGUGCCAGCAGCCGCGGUAAUACGGAGGGUGCAAGCGUUACUCGGAAUCACUGGGCGUAAAGGACGCGUAGGCGGGUUGGAAAGUCAGGUGUGAAAUCCUACAGCUUAACUGUAGAACUGCACUUGAAACUUCUAAUCUAGAGUAUGGGAGGGGGAGAUGGAAUUAGUGGUGUAGGGGUAAAAUCCGUAGAUAUCACUAGGAAUACCUAAGGCGAAGGCGUUCUCCUGGAACAUUACUGACGCUAAGGCGUGAAAGCGUGGGGAGCAAACAGGAUUAGAUACCCCCGUAGUC